CUACGGGGGGCUGCAGUUAGGGAUAUUCGGCAAUGGGGGAAACCCUGACCGAGCACUGCCGCGUGAAUGAAGAAGUAUUUCGAUAUGUAAAGUUCUGUUGUUAAGGAAGAAAGGUACGAAUAGGAAAUGAUUCGUAAUUGACGGUACUUAACCAGAAAGCCCCUGCUAACUACGUGCCAGCAGCAGCGGUAAUACGUAGGGGGCGAGCGUUAUCCGGAAUUAUUGGGCGUAAAGGGUGCGUAGGCGGCCUGUCAAGUCCGAGUUGAAAGCCCACGGCUUAACCGGGGAGGGUGCUCGGAAACUGAUAGGCUUGAAUCCAGAAGAGGCAAGUGGAAUUCUAUGUGGAGCGGUGGCAUGCGUAGAUAUAUGGAGGAACACCAGUGGCGAAGGCGGCUUGCUGGGCUGGUAUUGACGCUGAUGCACGAAAGCGUGGGGAGCAAACAGGAUUAGAUACCCCUGUAGUC
rnacentral:rRNA from 1 species